rnacentral:rRNA from 1 species
UACGUAGGGGGCAAGCGUUGUCCGGAUUUAUUGGGCGUAAAGAGCUCGUAGGCGGCUUGUCACGUCGGGUGUGAAAGCCCGGGGCUUAACCCCGGGUCUGCAUUCGAUACGGGCUAGCUAGAGUGUGGUAGGGGAGAUCGGAAUUCCUGGUGUAGCGGUGAAAUGCGCAGAUAUCAGGAGGAACACCGGUGGCGAAGGCGGGUCUCUGGGCCGAUACUGACGCUGAGGAGCGAAAGCGUGGGGAGCGAACAGG